UACGUAGGGGGCGAGCGUUGUCCGGAUUUAUUGGGCGUAAAGAGCGUGUAGGCGGUUCGGUAAGUCUGUCGUGAAAUCCCGAGGCUCAACCUCGGGCGUGCGAUGGAUACUGCUGGGCUAGAGGGUGGUAGAGGCGAGUGGAAUUCCCGGUGUAGCGGUGAAAUGCGCAGAUAUCGGGAGGAACACCAGUAGCGAAGGCGGCUCGCUGGGCCACACCUGACGCUGAGACGCGAAAGCUAGGGGAGCGAACAGG
rnacentral:rRNA from 1 species